UAAAGAGGUAAUGAUACAUGCUAGUGUGUAAUUAGAAGCAAAAUGCAUACAUCACAUCAAGAAGUACUCCCUCCGUUCCAAAAUAAUUGUCUUUCUAGCCAUCUCAAAUGGACUACAACAUACGGAUGUAUGUAGACAUGCUUUAGAGUAUAGAUUCACUUAUUUUACUUCGUAUGUAGUGACUUGUUGAAAUCUCUAGAAAGACAAUUAUUUCGGAACGGAGGGAGUAGUACGCACGUGCACAUCACAAAGAGCAAGCAAGCAAGCUCAAAAGGAAAAAACGUGUUUAGCUGGUCGAACCCAACCCCGGCAGAAAUAUCAUUUCUUUUUUCUCCAACUAGUCAUCUUCCCCAGCUCUCUACCUCUCUCUCUCUCACUGUCACUGGUAUGCUCAGCCACGAACAGAACCAACUCCAUCUCUCUCUCCCUAACUACAGAGCAGGUCGCCGCCGGCUCGAUCUGCCACUUCCGGACAUCUCCGGCGACACCGUGGACACCCACAGAAUCCCCUCGACUCCCUCUACCAUAUCCCCCCAUUUAUUUGAUCCGCCGCCGCCAAAAUCGCCGCCACCCUCAAACCCCAGCGUCGUCUGCAUCGGGUCCGAUGGGUUCACCACGGGCCGCAGUAGCAAUGGCAUAUCCCUGCCUACAACCUCCUCCAGCAGAGCUGCACGCACGAGGCAUGCAACUACGGCCGUCGGGAGCGAGCAUCUUAACCGGCGCGGCUCCGGCAACAUGGCCGCUACCGGCGCCUGGCUCGCCUUUGUCUACUGCUACUAGUUAACUAGAGUCCAAAAGAUCAGGUGUUCAUGUUCUAAGCAAAGAUGAAGAUGGAUCAAGCAAACAAAGCUGCAAAAGCAAGGCACUUGAAUAGUACCUGAUGGCAACUCAGCAUCCGACCAAAAGAGUGGAUGGGGAUGGUGGGGAGAGCUUGGUUCUCUCUUGUGCGUGUUGUGUGCAGUAGAGGAAGUCAAAGGUGAAAGGAGGAGGCUGCUAUUUAUAGUAGUGUAGGGUGCUAGGUCGGUUUGGUAAAAGAGAGAUGUGGCUGACAUGCAUGGUUGCAUGAGCAUGCAAGCCUCCACAUGUAAUCAUGUGAGUUGUACAACGGACAAGUGUAUAGUGCAUGGUUCGACACGAGAUGGCAUAUAAUUUGUGUGUAAGGAAUGAGACAAGGGCCUAAUUAUAAAUCUGCAAACAAUAAGGGAGUUGGAGAAGAACCAUUGUACAUGGCUAAAUACUAACUUUUUUGGUUGCAAUAAAUUUUUGAUAUUA